rnacentral:lncRNA from 1 species
AUAGUUAACAAAAUGGAAAAAAAUUAGCUGUGCUUUUAAGAUUCCAGUGGUGGCCAUCAACUGCUCAGGAAAGCAGCCCAGAAUCACUUCACAACAGGUUUCCAAUUCAUCAUUCAUCAGCACAGAAGGGUGGGAAAGAGAAGGCUGUUCAAAUUCUGAAAAGCCAGAGCUGCAAAGGAGGUCAAAGAUGCAGUGCAGUUGUCCCACUCAGUAGAGUUUCACUAGUGGUUCUGAUGUGGACUGAAGAUUACACGCUGGAUUGAAGUGGCCGGUCUGGAGCAGCUGUAGUUCAUCAUUCUUGCUGAUUGUGGACGAGUAAGAGCCCGCGUUGGCCCCGAUCGGCGAUCGCUGGCCAAAGCCCACCACCAGUUUGGUGAUAGGCGUUGGCUGUGAUAUCUAGUGUCGCCUAUGUGUGAAAAGGACAAGUUGAUAACAAAACCUGUUGCGCCAUGUUAUUAACCCGCGCCCGGGUGGCCCUCAGCCAACUUGGUGGGGGGGGGGGGGAGGUGUAUUCGGCCACACCAGGUUAUCUUGGAAUGUAGCAAAGCUGGAAAGACUCAGUAAAAUCAAUCUAUAGAUCGCUAUUUUUCUUCAGAAUCAUACAGGUCAUUUUUGAUCAGGUCAUCGCUGAGGUCACUGGAGGUCACCAAAAGUAAAAUGAUGACGAAUUUUGGCCCCCGAUUUUGACAACUUCACACAUUGGUUCAUAAUUUGGGAACCAAAGAAGCUACAGCGCCGCGGAAAAGCGAAUUCGAUAGCUCUUUCGAAAAUCUUUCAGGUUCUCAGAUUUGAGCUAAGGUCAACUAGGGUUAAGCCUCCAAAGGGCAAAAACUGAACAAUCGGCUUGCUUCGGAAGUCGUCUUUUCUUUAAAAAUUUUAAACUGAUACCAACCUUUUAUUACGUUGAUUUUACCGGCACUGCGUUUCUCUCGUCUUCUUGGCCUAACAAGGUCAGCUUAAUAAAUUUGACCUCAGGUCAAUGUCGCAGAAAAUGCCAUUUUGCAUGUCAUUGAUUCGUUACAUUGAAAUUGAGAUUAACAUCAGUAGCGGUGGAAUACCUUCAAUUAAGGGGGCAUUGCCGACUUUUGGUCUCAUUCUUUCCAUGCAACGCCCAUAGGGCUAAUGUUAAAAUGCCAAAAUCAAAGGGGGCACGGUGCCCCGGUGCCCUCGGCCUGUUCCGCCGCCUAUGAUUAUGAUGCUUUAAACGCUCUGGCCACGUUCCAUCUAAAAUCGAUGUACAAAAAUAAACUGUUGGGAGGCGUUACAUGACCUAAGAUGACCUCAGGAGCAUACGAUAGAUCCCGAUGUUUGAGUGCUUUUGUUUCAAAAGCAGAACAUUUCGAGUUCCUCAUACUGACUGAAACUGGAGACGUCGCAAAGUUGACCUGACCCUAGGUCACCACCGAUAUCAAAAUUAAAGAUAUUCAAGAUGUUGGUACUGAUUCUCUCAUGCAAUAGCUCGAGUUUCAAACUUCUACUUCAUGGUGACCUGACCUGACCUUAGGUGGCAUGGGGUUACUUUUUCACAAUUGAUGCGAAUCGAUGCAUUAUACAUAAGCUAUACUAAGUUUCGUGUCGUUUUAUCUAUGCAAGCACAAAAUUGUCAGGUGUGGCCAAAAACGCCCCCACGGCCCACCCACCUGGGGAACGUUAAAGCAGUGAUGUAUUUUUUCGGUGUAUUCCACGAUGCAUGGAUCGGUGUACUUGAUAAUGCAUUAUUUAUUGCUGCGUGUUUACGCUUUUCCUCUGUUCAGUGUGAUCUGUGAUAGGAAAACUACCGAUAUAUCUCCACGCGCAUGACUGAAGGCGCUGGCGUGAUCUAUAAUAUUGGGUGUCUGUUUUUGUUUGGCAUUUUAUAAAUAAUGAGUCAGC